rnacentral:rRNA from 1 species
AUUGAACGCUGGCGGUAGGCCUAACACAUGCAAGUCGAACGAGUGGCGGACGGGUGAGGAAUACAUCGGAAUCUACUCUGUCGUGGGGGUUAACGUAGGGACACUUACGCUACUACCGCAUACGAUUGCCUGAGCCGAUGUCGGAUUAGCUAGUUGUCGUGGUAAAGGCCCACCAAGGCGCCGAUCCGUAGCUGGUCUGAGAGGAUGAUCAGCCACACUGGAACUGAGACACGGUCCAGACUCCUACGGGAGGCAGCAGUGGGGAAUAUUGGACAAUGGGCGCAAGCCUGAUCCAGCCAUACCGCGUGGGUGAAGAAGGUCUUCGGAUUGUAAAGCACUUUUGUUGGGAAAGCGGUACCCAAAGAAUAAGCACCGGCUAACUUCGUGCCAGCAGCCGCGGUAAUAC